rnacentral:rRNA from 1 species
UACGAAGGGAGCUAGCGUUGUUCGGAAUUACUGGGCGUAAAGCGCACGUAGGCGGCUUUGUAAGUUAGAGGUGAAAGCCCAGGGCUUAACCCUGGAAUUGCCUUUAAGACUGCAUCGCUAGAAUUGUGGAGAGGUGAGUGGAAUUCCGAGUGUAGAGGUGAAAUUCGUAGAUAUUCGGAAGAACACCAGUGCGAAGGCGACUCACUGGACACAUAUUGACGCUGAGGUGCGAAAGCGUGGGGAGCAAACAGG